GAGGAUCUGUCUUAGGGGACUCUGGGUGGUGCCUAGGAGGACCUGCAGAGGAGUUUCUGCCUCUCUGCUCAGGCCAGUUCUCCAGCGCCCUCUGUGGCGGCUGAGAGCAGGCCCUCUAAGGAAGAGAGCUCCGGGCAUAGAGAGCUCAGGCCUGCAGCAGAGGGAGUGCAGAUGUGGGGGAAGCUGACCCUGGAGUUAACAGGCUCAGACCUUAAAGGGGGUAGUCUCACAGCAGGUUCACACCCAGCACUUCAGAGUUUCAGCAAGUAAGGCAACUGCAAGACCCUCAUUCUGCCGGGAAGCUUCUGAUUAGGGCCCUAAACCACCAUCCUUUUCACAUCUGCAAGGACACUAGAGGCAACACCCAGGGUCACUCUGAGAGGGCCUGAACCUGCUUUAUUAACAGGAUCGAGGGUCAGGACCGAAGUAAGUCGUGAUGCAGGAAAUGAGUGCGUUUCACAGCUUGCUGAGCCCCUACUCGACCCAGGAAGCCCAGCUGGCCCCUCCUCUCAACAGGAGUGAGAAUCAGCUCAAAUUUUGCAGUUUCUGCUGUCAUCACAGCUGGGAAUGAGAAAGGGAAGGGGCUCCAGUUGGUCUCCCUCUGCCUCUGGAGCACACGUGGAGGACAUGAGGCUUCCGCAGGAACAGCUCUGAAAGCUGAGUUCUCGGGUCCCUGUGAAGGAGGGAAGCUUGCCUGCCUUGGAGCGUGAAAAAGUCUUGCUGGACAGAAGUCUCACGGUUUAAAACUGGGAAGGGAGAGGAUUGAGAUCACACUAGAAUGCACAGAAAAUUCUUAAAACAAAAAAAUGAGAGAAACUUCAUCAGAAUGUGAAAAGAACUAUAAAGCUACAGUGCUGAAGAGAGGGCAAUACUGGCACUAGAAUGAGAAGAUUCAUGGAACACAGUGGAAAAUGCAGUAAGAGAGCUGCAUGUAUGUAAUAUUUUAUCAUGUGAUAAAGUGAUAUAUUAAUAUUCACAA
rnacentral:lncRNA from 1 species